rnacentral:rRNA from 1 species
GACAGAGGGGGCAAGCGUUGUUCGGAAUUACUGGGCGUAAAGGGCUCGUAGGCGGCCAACUAAGUCGGACGUGAAAUCCCUCAGCUUAACUGGGGAACUGCGUCCGAUACUGGAUGGCUUGGAUUUGGGAGAGGGAUGCGGAAUUCCAGGUGUAGCGGUGAAAUGCGUAGAUAUCUGGAGGAACACCGGUGGCGAAGGCGGCAUCCUGGACCAAUAUUGACGCUGAGGAGCGAAAGCCAGGGGAGCAAACAGG